UAUAGAAGCGCCUUUCAGGGUCGCGACGUCAGUACCGGAAUGCUUGUUGUGAACCAGGCCCGAGGCUCGCCAGCGAAACAACACUGCGUCAGCCAAUCGCGACGCGUGUUUCCCCUCCGCCAGCUAAUUGGACUUUUGUUCGUCGAACUUACAUGUGCGAUAACGAUUAAUUCGUUGAUCGUCGACGAGAAAAAUACGCAUUUGUUUUUAGCCGAGCCAUUCGAAAGCGUUGACCACGUACAUUCUAGUUCUCUACGGCGUACGCAAGAUGGACCAAUAAGAGAUCCGCCAUUGUUGCGAUUUCGUCUGAUCUCGAGUAAAAUAGACGAUAACGUCGGCGUUCGGCUAUGAUUGUUCCGAAUGAUGAUAUAUUCAUUUGCAUUGAACAUUAUAGCUAGUUGAAUUGGAAAGCUUAGGAAACAAUGACGUUUCAAACAUGUUAUUGCGCGUCUCGAUCCAUUCUAUGCAUGCAUGUAUACACGUAUGUACGUAUGUAUGUGUGUGUGUGUGUGCGCGCGCAGUUUGUCGUACACUGAACAUUGAGGCGUAGAUGUGUGUACCUCGAUAAUGAGAUCGGAACAAUUUAAGAACGCUCUGUACGGAUCGAAUGUAUUCGAGAACGAUGGAUACACGAACUAGUAAAGUCGCGGCGAUGACGCUUUGACAUUUCAAGAAAUUGAAUUUCUCUGGCAAAACGUUCAAGACGUGCCUCUGAGUUAAGAGAAAUACGAUGAUUAACAAUUGUCCGACAAUGCAAUUUUCGGAAGGAAUUGUUCUUCUCUGGCUUAUAAGCUGUCCGCACGCCGGCACCGGUCUCAGAUAGAACAAGUGCCGGUAAGCACGACAUUCUGUUUCCAAGUGACUGCAUUUA